GAUGAACGCUGGCGGCGUGCCUAAUACAUGCAAGUCGAGCGAACAGACGAGGAGCUUGCUCCUCUGACGUUAUCGGCGGACGGGUGAGUAACACGUGGAUAACCUACCUAUAAGACUGGGAUAACUUCGGGAAACCGGAGCUAAUACCGGAUAAUAUAUUGAACCGCAUGGUUCAAUAGUGAAAGACGGUUUUGCUGUCACUUAUAGAUGGAUCCGCCCCGCAUUAGCUAGUUGGUAAGGUAACGGCUUACCAAGGCAACGAUGCGUAGCCGACCUGAGCGGGUGAUCGGCCACACUGGAACAGAGACACGGUCCAGACUCCUACGGGAGGCAGCAGUAGGGAAUCUUCCGCAAUGGGCGAGAGCUUGACGGAGCAACGCCGCGUGAGUGAUGAAGGUCUACGGAUCGUAAAACUCUGUUAUUAGGGAAGUACAAAUGUGUAAGUAACUAUGCACGUCUUGACGGUACCUAAUCAGAAAGCCACGGCUAACUACGUG
rnacentral:rRNA from 1 species